GCUGCCUUGGCUCAGUUGGUAGAGCGUCGCCUUGGUAAGGCGGAGGUCGGCGGUUCAAAUCCGCUAGGCAGCUCGA
rnacentral:tRNA from 5 species